ensembl:ncRNA K08A2.9 ncRNA
GAAUAGAUAUCCGGUAUGA